rnacentral:rRNA from 1 species
CAGCAGCCGCGGGAAUACGUAGGGUGCGAGCGUUAAUCGGAAUUACUGGGCGUAAAGCGUGCGCAGGCGGUGCUGCAAGACCGAUGUGAAAGCCCCGGGCUUAACCUGGGAACUGCAUUGGUGACUGCAGCGCUGGAGUAUGGCAGAGGGGGGUGGAAUUCCACGUGUAGCAGUGAAAUGCGUAGAGAUGUGGAGGAACACCAAUGGCGAAGGCAGCCCCCUGGGCCAAUACUGACGCUCAUGCACGAAAGCGUGGGGAGCAAACAGGAUUAGAUACCCCCGUAGUCCCUGUCUCUUAUAC